rnacentral:tRNA from 1 species
GAGAGAUGGCUGAGUG